rnacentral:piRNA from 1 species
AUUAGAAACACGAUUCGGGGU